rnacentral:rRNA from 1 species
AUACGUAGGGUGCAAGCGUUAAUCGGAAUUACUGGGCGUAAAGCGUGCGCAGGCGGUUUUGUAAGACAGAGGUGAAAUCCCCGGGCUCAACCUGGGAACUGCCUUUGUGACUGCAAGGCUAGAGUACGGCAGAGGGGGAUGGAAUUCCGCGUGUAGCAGUGAAAUGCGUAGAUAUGCGGAGGAACACCGAUGGCGAAGGCAAUCCCCUGGGCCUGUACUGACGCUCAUGCACGAAAGCGUGGGGAGCAAACAGGAUUAGAUACCCUGGUAGUCCACGCCCUAAACGAUGUCAACUGGUUGUUGGGUCUUCAUUGACUCAGUAACGAAGCUAACGCGUGAAGUUGACCGCCUGGGGAGUACGGCCG